UACGUAGGUGGCAAGCGUUGUCCGGAUUUACUGGGUGUAAAGGGCGUGUAGCCGGGCUGACAAGUCAGAUGUGAAAUCCGGGGGCUCAACCCCCGAACUGCAUUUGAAACUGUUGGUCUUGAGUAUCGGAGAGGCAGGCGGAAUUCCUAGUGUAGCGGUGAAAUGCGUAGAUAUUAGGAGGAACACCAGUGGCGAAGGCGGCUUUCUGGACUGAAACUGACGCUGAGGCACGAAAGCGUGGGGAGCGAACAGG
rnacentral:rRNA from 1 species